rnacentral:rRNA from 1 species
AUUGAACGCUGGCGGCAGGCCUAACACAUGCCAGUCGAGCGGAUGAAGGGAGCUUGCUCCUGGAUUCAGCGGCGGACGGGUGAGUAAUGCCUAGGAAUCUGCCUGGUAGUGGGGGAUAACGUCCGGAAACGGGCGCUAAUACCGCAUACGUCCUGAGGGAGAAAGUGGGGGAUCUUCGGACCUCACGCUAUCAGAUGAGCCUAGGUCGGAUUAGCUAGUUGGUGGGGUAAAGGCCUACCAAGGCGACGAUCCGUAACUGGUCUGAGAGGAUGAUCAGUCACACUGGAACUGAGACACGGUCCAGACUCCUACGGGAGGCAGCAGUGGGGAAUAUUGGACAAUGGGCGAAAGCCUGAUCCAGCCAUACCGCGUGUGUGAAGAAGGUCUUCGGAUUGUAAAGCACUUUAAGUUGGGAGGAAGGGCAGUAAGUUAAUACCUUGCUGUUUUGACGUUACCAACAGAAUAAGCACCGGCUAACUUCGUG